AAUCCUAAUGCUACUCAUGUUAUUACAAUUUAACAUGGUAAUGAAGUUCUUCAAAAUAUCAACGUAACAAUACUUUCUAAUUCAUGAAACCAAUUUUACAAAAUACAGAAUUAAAUACGUGAAAUAUUCAAGGAUAUACAUAUUUCUUAAAUUUCGUGGUAAAAAUUCAGGUAUGUGAAUUAUGCAAAUAAAUAUGGUAUGAUAAAUGACAUUAAACUGGAAUGUAUUCCAUUCCUAUAUAUAAUAAUAAUCUCUAAGAGAAGAGGAAUACAAUAUAUAAGUGGUUUGUUUCAGGAAAAUUUACAUUGAAUACUGAGCUUAAUAUUUGGAAUAAGUGGACCAAAUUUUUAGAUAGAAACUCUAUCUAUAUAUGUAAUAAACACAAUUAUAAAAAAAUUUUUUUACCGAAACAAUAGGCCACAAAAAUUAUUAAUUGAGCAUUGGAAGCGAUACAUAAGAACUUAGAUCAAACACUUUCAGAAUAUAACAGAACAAUAAAAAAUGGAAUGAUUUAUACUGCAUUAGCUAAGAGAUGUUAUGAAAACAAUGUGAUAAUUAACUGGAAUGAAGAAAAAGUAUCAAGUCAUCCAAUAACUAUAGAUAAGCUAAGGGAACAGAAACAUUCUCAUUCUGGAGUGGGCAAGAUUAGAAAUAUGAUUAACAACUCACAGAAGCCAAUGCCAACACAUGGCUUUAUUUAUCCAACUCUCAUUAUAAAAUAUAUAACAUUUGUUAAGUAUGUGUUUUAGAAAUUGCGAUUUAACAUUUUAUGCAUAUAUGUAAUAAAGUUUUUUGAAUUUAAAAUCUGAUUCUUAGAAUUUUUUAAUUAGAG
rnacentral:lncRNA from 1 species